rnacentral:lncRNA from 1 species
CGCCCCCUCAGCCUCGGUGAGUGGGCGGAGCUUCGCGGGACGAGCCGUGAUUGGCUGGUGGCCGGGGGGGUGGGCGUGGCUUGCAUCUUAGCCCCUCCCCCUCACGUGUUUGCAGCAUGGAGGGGGCGGGGCCGGAGCUGGCGGUGGCCGUCGCCAUGGGAACGGAGCCGGAAGUGCUGGUGGCGCUGCGCAGGCUGAGCCGGGAGAGGGCGGAGUCACUGCGGGGGCUGCUGGAGCCCCGCCCACCCCCAGGCCACCACCACCAGACCGACGCCGCCGACGAGCGCUGGCUCCGCUCCGCCCAGGUGAGCCCCGCCCCUUGUGACAUC